rnacentral:rRNA from 1 species
ACUCCUACGGAGGCAGCAGUGGGGAAUAUUGGACAAUGGGGGAAAGACCCUGAUCCAGCCAUGCCGCGUGUGUGAAGAAGGCCUUCGGGUUGUAAAGCACUUUCAGUGGGGAGGAAAGGUUGAUGGUUAAUACCUAUCAGCUGUGACGUUACCCACAGAAGAAGCACCGGCAUACUCGUGCCAGCAGCCGCGGUAAUACGGAGGGUGCAAGCGUUAAUCGGAAUUACUGGGCGUAAAGCGUGCGCAGGCGGUCUGUUAAGCGAGAUGUGAAAGCCCGGGCUCAACCUGGGAACUGCAUUUCGAACUGGCAGACUAGAGUCUUGUAGAGGGGGUAGGAAUUCCA